UUUAAAAAUAACCCUGUAUAUUUUUGGUUCAAAUCCAAAAUUAUUCAACAAAAUAAAUUGCAUCACAAUUAUUCGUGUUAGUUUUUUUUGUGACAAAAAAUAUGUUCCAUUGAACUAAAUAGCCCAAGGUUCGAGUAUAUAUUCUACCUACUCAUCGUGAAUUACUCAUCACGCCCCUUCCAAAUUCAAAGAUCUUCGACUUCAACUUCGGUUAUUCAAGAUUAUUGACUACCGGAGUUCUGAAACGCUGCACAGACUAUUCAAACGCUAUUUUUUUUAAUAUAUAAACAUAUACCAUACAGAUACAGAAUUAUAACCUCAAGAAAACAUCUUAAAGGGAAUGAUGAAGGGCUAAAAUUUCUCGUGGCUACAGUAUUCACUACACCGAAGUAAUUUUUAAGUUUUAUGGCAAAAUCCAGAUGCUCAUGCUUCACAACCCAUACGAUUACUUGUAGUAAAAAUUAUAAAAUUUUAAAUUUUAUAAGAGCGCAACUCUUCUGUAUGGUACAUACGGAUUUAGGUGCAGCUGAAUAAACAUAAUUCAUAAUA